AACAAUCUGAUAUCCCUGUAAAUCCUGAAAGCAAAUAAAGACUCCAGAAGCAAUCAAAAUCGUAGAAUUUUUACCCUAUAUUUCUAAAAAAUUAAUGCACUUUAAAGAAAAUACAGAAAUAUGAGAAAACAAGAAUCGUUUAACGCUUGCAGUCGGAUAUCAGCAUGUAUGUACUCAACGCGUUCGAAUGCACAAACCCGCUUUGUCAC